rnacentral:rRNA from 1 species
UACAGAGGGGGCCAGCGUUAUUCGGAAUUAUUGGGCGUAAAGGGCGCGUAGGCGGCCAUGCGUGUCUUCCGUGAAAUCCCUCGGCUUAACUGAGGACGUGCGGAAGAAACUGGACAAGGGCUUGAGUCCGGGAGAGGGGGGUGGAAUUCCCAGUGUAGCGGUGAAAUGGCGUAGAUAGUUGGGAGGCAACACCGGUGGCGAAGGGCGGCCC